rnacentral:rRNA from 1 species
GACGAAGCGUACAAGCGUUAUUCGGAAUUACUGGGCUUAAAGGGUGCGUAGGCGGCGGUGCAAGUUGGGUGUGAAAUCCCUCGGCUCAACCGAGGAACUGCGCUCAAAACUGCAUCGCUUGAGGGAGAUAGAGGUGAGUGGAACUUAGGGUGGAGCGGUGAAAUGCGUUGAUAUCCUAAGGAACACCAGUGGCGAAAGCGACUCACUGGGUCUCUUCUGACGCUGAGGCACGAAAGCUAGGGUAGCGAACGGG